CUGCAGCCACUUAAGCUGAUCAUGCUCUUCUGCUCCUGGAGCCCCUGGUGUGCAGUGACUAUAAACAGUAGCCUCUUUGGUUAUAUAUGCAGCCUGUUGUUUCUCUGGUUGCCCUAAGGGACUUGGGCACGGUC